rnacentral:lncRNA from 1 species
CUGAUUCAGAAACGUUUGGGUUUGGAGCUGGACCAUCGCCCAUCCCCCACUAACCUUAUUUGUUUUCCAGAGACUGUUUCCAGCCAGAGACAGAGAACCAAGAGAAUGCCAUAGCAAAGACCAACAGAGAGCAG